UGGGUGGAUUAGGACUGUUUGUGAUUUGGUCUUAGUGUGACUUAGGACUCCUUUUCACUACUCCUAAAGUUUCACAGAUUUAGGAGCUAGUUUUAGCACUAAAAUGCUUUGUGAAAUACUCUUAGGGCAAAAAUGUAGGACUCCUAAAAUUAGGACUGACACGCCCAUUAUUUUUAAGAGUUUCUCCUAAAUCGUCAAUUUAAGAACUAUUAAGAUGUUAAUAGUUAAGAUGUUUUGUGAAUACGGCCCCAGAAUAUCAGUAUUUUAAUAGAGAUAUUUACAAUUAUAUCAAAUGUAUACAAAGCAGAAACAUUUGCUUGACCAGCUGCAACAGCAGCACAUUGCAAAAUGAUUUACUUACCUCCAACUCUUGCAAGAACACAAUGCUUUGCUUUUGCUCUCCGCAUCUCCCCAAUCAAUUUAUCCUGGAAAUUGUUCUAAAAGAAGUAUAAACACUCUAAAACAGAGAGACUAUCACUUAAUUUUCAUAAUGUUUUUUUUCUUUUUAUGAUUUUCACAAAUCAGCGCACAGACUGUUUGGUAUAACGUUAGAACUCCGGUCACACAGUCGUGAUCUCGUUAUUCCCUUGUCACUUCUCACGUGUUUUGUUGUGAAACAUAGUUUGCGGACAGGACAGAGUUGUCGGCGAUUGUUCCUCUUGAAAAGUCAUGCAAUAUGUAACCCCUGUCCAUCAUGCAGAGUGAACACAGCAGUGACUGAAGGAUACCCCAGAUAGUCAUGCAGUCUGAAAGGAGCUGUGUUCUGACUACUUUGAAAAUCGUGCAGUGUGAACUUGGCAUGAGGUACCUCACAAAACUGAUUUUGGACAGACUAAUGAGCCUGUAUGUGCAGUGCUGGGAGUGUUCCAGGAAACCCCUGAUCUAUAUCGACUUGAUGUGGGGCACCAAAGGGUAACCUGACACAUCUGUUUGAACUGUGAAAAAGGAAAAAAAAAAAAAGUGGCACAAUUAUUUUUCAUUAAUUUUUUUUUUCUUUUCAAAGGGCCGUUGGGAGAGCGAGGAGUGAGGAGCUGCGCUAAUGUUGUUUUGU
ensembl:lncRNA